AUGUGUAUCUUGCUACGGUGCGUCUAGCGGCGGACGGGUGAGUAAUACUUAGGAAUCUACCUAGUAGUGGGGGAUAGCUCGGGGAAACUCGAAUUAAUACCGCAUACGACCUACGGGAGAAAGGGGGCAGUUUACUGCUCUCGCUAUUAGAUGAGCCUAAGUCGGAUUAGCUAGAUGGUGGGGUAAAGGCCUACCAUGGCGACGAUCUGUAGCUGGUCUGAGAGGAUGAUCAGCCACACCGGGACUGAGACACGGCCCGGACUCCUACGGGAGGCAGCAGUGGGGAAUAUUGGACAAUGGGGGAAACCCUGAUCCAGCCAUGCCGCGUGUGUGAAGAAGGCCUUUUGGUUGUAAAGCACUUUAAGCAGUGAAGAAGACUCCGUGGUUAAUACCCACGGACGAUGACAUUAGCUGCAGAAUAAGCACCGGCUAACUCUGUGCCAGCAGCCGCGGUAAUACAGAGGGUGCAAGCGUUAAUCGGAAUUACUGUGCGUAAAGGGAGCGUAGGUGGCUCGAUAAGUCAGAUGUG
rnacentral:rRNA from 1 species